rnacentral:tRNA from 1 species
UGGGUUGUGGCUCAGGGGUAGAGCGCUUGCCUAGCAUGUGUGAGGCACUGGGUUCGAUUCUCAGCAUCAA